UCCUGGCUCAGGAUGAACGCUAGCUACAGGCUUAACACAUGCAAGUCGAGGGGCAGCGGGAUUGAAGCUUGCUUCAAUUGCCGGCGACCGGCGCACGGGUGAGUAACGCGUAUCCAACCUUCCGUACACUCAGGGAUAGCCUUUCGAAAGAAAGAUUAAUACCUGAUGGUAUGAUGAGAUCGCAUGGUAUCAUCAUUAAAGAUUUAUCGGUGUACGAUGGGGAUGCGUUCCAUUAGGUAGUAGGCGGGGUAACGGCCCACCUAGCCUACGAUGGAUAGGGGUUCUGAGAGGAAGGUCCCCCACAUUGGAACUGAGACACGGUCCAAACUCCUACGGGAGGCAGCAGUGAGGAAUAUUGGUCAAUGGACGAGAGUCUGAACCAGCCAAGUAGCGUGAAGGAUGAAGGUCCUACGGAUUGUAAACUUCUUUUAUAAGGGAAUAAAACCUCCCACGUGUGGGAGCUUGUAUGUACCUUAUGAAUAAGCAUCGGCUAACUCCGUG
rnacentral:rRNA from 1 species